CAGCCGCCGCGGUAAUACGUAGGUGGCAAGCGUUGUCCGGAAUUAUUGGGCGUAAAGGGCUCGCAGGCGGUUUCUUAAGUCUGAUGUGAAAGCCCCCGGCUCAACCGGGGAGGGUCAUUGGAAACUGGGAAACUUGAGUGCAGAAGAGGAGAGUGGAAUUCCACGUGUAGCGGUGAAAUGCGUAGAGAUGUGGAGGAACACCAGUGGCGAAGGCGACUCUCUGGUCUGUAACUGGCGCUGAGGAGCGAAAGCGUGGGGAGCAAACAGGAUUAGAUACCCCUGUAGUCCCUGUCUCUUAUAC
rnacentral:rRNA from 1 species